AUAACGUUGCAUAACUUUAUUUGUUGUUAUUUUAAACUUAUUCACAAAUCACAAUAAAUAUAUAACUUAAAAUUUCUUUCACUCAAUCAUUUGUAAGUAUGCAUAUGGAACUAAACCAUCAAACUUUUUAUGCAACAAAAUAAUUGUUUUUAUUUUAUUUGUUAUUUAUAAAAAGAAUAAUUUUCUCAACAACUAUGGUCACAUCUGCAUACUUGUUAUUUACUGUUAGAAAUAGGAAAUAAUAUUAAAUUACUAAAUUUUUUACUUGCCGUUUUAUUUCCAAUAUCCGUUUUUCGCGUUCGAUUAUUAUAAAUAUUAUUACAAUAUAUUUUAUCGUAUUUAUUGAAGACUAUAUAUUUUUGUACUACAUUGUUGACAUAUAUUUAUAAUAAUUAAAUAUUUUUAAAUGCGUGAGAUACAAUUAUGAACUUAAAGAUAAUAAACAUUGUGUCGUUUACAUUAAUAUUAACAUAAGAGCAAAUUUAAGUGUUUAUUAUGUUUCUAUUUUAAUUUUUGUAAAUGUGUAUUUAAUUUUUAAAAACGUACUUAAUUAUUUUUAUUUUUUAUUUUAAUAGUUCAGGCUACUGCUACAGUCCAGUAGUAUUGUAUAAGUAUCUCUACAACUGUAACAAAUAUCUAAUAAAAUUAAUCGGAUAAAAUCACUAAGUACCUACCAUAAAACUGUCUUAAAUAUACAUAAAUAUUAAUGCACCAUAUUUUUAAACACUAAUUUAUUUGGAAUAUAGUGAACUAACCUACAAAUAAAUUACAGUACAAAAUUUUAAACCAAUUUAAUAAAAUACUGAUUAAUACUUUUUUUUGUUAUUUAUAUUUUAAUGUUGGCAGCAUUCGUGUUAAUGCAAUAAUAAUUUCAUAUAACCUGACUGGAAAUCAAAUCUAAAAUUAUUACACAUUUUUUGUAAUAUUUUACUUAUCAAUCGAAUAAGAAAGGAAUUAUUUUUAUUUUAUGGUUUAAAUAAUUUUAACAAUAUUUUUCAAGAAACACAAAAGCAGAAACUUAGUAAAGUAUAAAAAAAAUUUACAAGACAACAUUUCAAUUAUACCUUUUUUUACAUUGCGUUAGAUUUUGAACGCUUUUUUGGUUUUAUUUUCGAGUGACAGACUAUAUCAAAAAUAACCUUUAUAUUCGCUGUUUAAAUUGACUCUUAGUCUCCAUUUUUUAACUAACCGACACAACAACGAAGCUGCAUAAUCAUUUACAGCGCUACCUACCAUAUGCAAAAUAAAAAGUUAUCCUUAACCAUAAUUGAAUCCGUUAUAGACCUCUUGGAUAUCGCGGCGGAGCUACGGCAACGCCAUCGGUCGGUAAUCGGCGGCAACUCGAGCUCGUUUUUCUCAUACAAGUGAACAUAUGAUUCGCAUAAAAGCCACUGCACGCUUUAGACGAUUGUUUAUUUCAACACAAUAAAAAAGGAGAAAAAAGUUUUUAAGGGAUAUUAUGAACCAAACUAUAUAAUAUAUAAUAACUAUAAGUGUGGAUUUCAGAAUCUUUAUGCAGACUUUUUUUUUAUUUUAUUUUAUUUUACUUUAUUUUGGAAACAAACGGUAUUACAUAAAUAUACAGGAAUACACAACACAAUAGUAUCACUUAACCAAAAAUAGUUUUCGAUAUUAAGAUUUUCGCGGAGAAUCUAUGUCGAAAGAUAAGUAAAUACACGAACCAUUAAAUAUUCUUUUAUGUAAUCCAUUAUAUGUAAUUUGUACCACGUAUUUAUUCAUUGAUUGUAAGAUUAUCGGAUUAAUAAUAACAGGAUAUUGAAUUAAUUAAAAAUUGUGGGACACAAACUAUAUUAUACUCAUAAAAUUAAUUAAUAGUUGAAUAAUAAAAAAUCAUCUAAACGAAUAUAUUUUCAGCAACUUUUCAACCAUACAUGCAAAAUAGAAUUGGAAAAUGUAUAUGUAUUUUUUUAUCAAGGUAAAUACACGUAUAUAUAUAUAUAUAUAUAUAUAUAUAUAUAUAUAUAUAUAUAUAUAUAUAUAUAUAUAUAUAUAUAUAUAUAUAAUUUAAAUAAAGAAAGCGUAAAAAGAGAAGCAGCUGUUAUCCACUCUGCUCUUUUUUUAAUUUCCCAAUUCCGUCUCGGAAACGAACAAAAAGUCGAUUCACGAUUCCGAGAUUGAGAAUUUUUAGAACCCACAGCACAACAGUACCUCGUACCACCCAUUUUUUUCUUUUUUCUUUUUUUGAGCACCUUUUAACGUUUUCAACUGAUUGAAUAACGUAAACAACCAUACAGCUGCACUUGCACUCAAACGCCCGUGUGUUGCCUGAAUUUGCCACAACGCCGCGCCACUAGCGUUAUCCAAGAGGCCUAUAAUACUUUGGUCUAAAUAAGACAUGUUACGACGCUUAUUUAUACUCCGUCGAGCCGACAGUCAGGCUUAGAGCGCGUUUCUUGUAUUUUUUACUACGUAUUUAUUUUUCUUAUUUUCACAAUUCUUAAAAUUCUAAUAUCAAUAAUUCAUAUCCAUAUCUAUAACAUCCCUAAAAGUAUUACAUUAAAAUUAUAUUUAGAAUUCAAUCAACUGGUUUAUAAUUUUAUUAAUAUCUAAUCAUUACUAAGGCAGAACUUACGUUCAAUUAUAUUCAUUUUGUUUUACUGGACUCAGAACUAAGUUGUCUACCCUACUUUAUAGAAAAGCUACGUACAACAGCUUUAUAAAAAAUUGUGAACAUAUAAUACAGGUGGAUACAUGAAAAUACAACAUACUAUUUGUACGCUACAUACAAAAAAAUCAGUCAAAUGGAAGAGUCGUCAAAGUUUAGUUGUAAACAAUUUUCUGUCUAACUUACUGCUUCUAUUGGACUGACUAUUUGUCUAUACAUUAAAAUAGUAUGUUGUAGUUGAAUUUAUUUUUAGUUACAUAAAUAUAAAAGUAGUACUUUUUUACCACUAGAUUAAAAAAAUGACCAAAAAGUUUCGGUCCAGACGUUAUUUCGCAUUAAAUGAACACAUUACAUUAACAUUUUGUUGGUGUAAGUAAACACUCAAAUUUUUUCACAAUGUGUUGGAAGAGAAUGAAACAAUCAUUUUUUUAACGCUUCUUACACGUCACAGACUAUUCAUUUUAAUUAAGCUUUUGAUACAAAUACAUUAGGAAACUAUAUGACUAUUUUUACGUACUCUCGGAAAUUACAUAACUAUUUUAAAAAUAUAACGUACUUAAAAGUAUGAUAUUGGCAUGGCGAUGUGUAUUAACAAGAAUUAUUGCAACCAAAAUCUUUAUAACUACGUAAUAAUAUUCCUUAACUAAUUAAGGGUUUUAAAAAAUCGUAUGUGUUGAGCAGCCGUUUGGUGACUGUUAGCCAUUAUGUAUAUCUGAAGGAAAACUGCAAUAUACUUAUUUUUUUAAUAGCCAAUAUUUUUUAAAUAAUGUUUUCUUGCAGUUUAUUUGUGAAUCACCAUUUUGACAUUUGAUAGUCAAAGUAUACGCUACUCUACUUCUCUAUGAUAGUACAAAAAUAAUUUAUCUACGAUAAACAUAUAGAUUAUAAGUCUUUUUAAAAGACUAUUAGAUAUCACUUUAUAUUUUAUUUUUAUUAUCAGAUAUUUGACAAAAGACAAUAUUGCUCAUUACUUUUAAUUCCUUUAUUUGUAAAUUAUCUUUCUAUUGUAAAUUAUUUAUAGUUUCGUUGUUGAAAUAAACGCUUUACAUUCCAUUAAUUCUAUUUAUUUUCUUAUAAAAUUAUCGAUUAUCGAUUUUCUUUGCGUUAGUACUAACAUUAUAGUUUAUUCGCGUUAAGAAAAUAAUGACUCUGUCAUUUAGCAUUCUUACGACCCUUUACCAAAGAAAUCGUAGUUAAUUAGAACGUCUGUCUGAAGGACUUAAUUCAACUAUUUAAUAUGAAUACUGCAUUGUCGCUUACUUUUAUCUAAUUAGUCAAUAAGCGUGGCUAAGCUGAGUCACUACUUUCCUAAAGCUAAUACUAUAUUGAGUUAAGAACUAAAUAUAGUAUUAGCUUUACCAAUAUGAUUGUACUUUACCAACGUGAUACCCAUAUAACAUACGGCUUCGAAUGAAGUAAUAUUGCUAUUAAAACAAAAGUAAAGUAAAUUGAGUAGGCUUUUACUAUUUAUUUAUUAUCAAAUUUGUGUAUGUUAUUACGUAGCGAUAAAGUUAACUAGUCGCUAUGAAAGCGUGUGUGUGUGAGCGUCAACUCACGGGACGAGUGCUAUUGUUCCUCGUGUCUGUUCCGAGUGGGUGAAUGCGCACGCGCUGGUUCCUCAUUAUCUUUCUUUUGAACGAAUCUGUGACCAAAUGAAAAUUUUAUAAUAUAAUCAUAGGUAAUAUAUGCAUGACCCUUGUGAAUCAAAAUUUCAUGGUUUUACUUAUGUAGCGGAAUAUUCAG
rnacentral:misc_RNA from 1 species